rnacentral:misc_RNA from 1 species
UCCGGCUUGGCGCCGGCAGUCUCUCUAGAGUCCCCGACAUUACUCGCUGGCAACUAGAGACGGGGGUUGCGCUCGUUGCGGGACUUAACCCAACACCUCACGGCACGAGCUGACGACAGCCGUGCACCACCUGUCAGGGGCCCUUACGGACACUGCAUCUCUGCAGCUUUUCCCCUGAUGUCAAACCCAGGUAAGGUUCUUCGCGUUGCGUCGAAUUAAACCACAUGCUCCACCGCUUGUGCGGGCCCCCGUCAAUUCAUUUGAGUUUUAACCUUGCGGCCGUACUCCCCAGGCGGUCUACUUAGUGCGUUAGCUGCGCCACCAAAACCUCAAGGGUCCCGACGGCUAGUAGACAUCGUUUACAGCGUGGACUAC